rnacentral:rRNA from 1 species
GAUGAACGCUGGCGGCGUGCUUAACACAUGCAAGUCGAACGUGAGAAUAGCAAUAUUUGAAAGUGGCAAACGGGUGAGUAACACGUGGGAACCUGCCUCGAAGUGGGGGAUAACGAUUGGAAACGGUCGCUAAUACCGCACGGUUCUGCUCUGAUGGGAAUGGAGCAGAUAAAGAUUUAUCGCUUUGAGAGGGGCCCGCGGCCGAUUAGCUAGUUGGUAAGGUAAAGGCUUACCAAGGCGAUUAUCGGUAGCUGGUCUGAGAGGACGAUCAGCCACACGGGAACUGAGACACGGUCCCGACUCCUACGGGGGGCAGCAGUGAGGAAUAUUGGACAAUGGGGGCAACCCUGAUCCAGCCAUGCCGCGUGAGUGAAGAAGGCCCUCGGGUUGUAAAGCUCUUUUGUCCGGAAAGAAAAGCAUCUGGUUAAUACCCGGGUGUUCUGACGGUACCGGAAGAAUAAGCACCGGCUAACUUCGUG